CCAGGGCCACUGCUUGGGAUGGAUGGGAGCCAGCAGUCGGAGAAGAAGAGACGGUGACUAACCUCCGUAACUUGUUCUUCGAGAUGUUGCUCACGUCCAGUCCAUGACCCGCCCUCCAUC
rnacentral:precursor_RNA from 15 species